rnacentral:rRNA from 1 species
GUGGUGGCACAAAAUCGGAAGCCCCGACUGUUUACUAAAAACACAGCUAUCUGCAACGAUGUAAAUCUUAGUAUAGGUAGUGAGGUUUGCCCGAUGCCAUUAAUAUAAGAGAAGUGAUGGGUAACUGUUAAUUAUCGAAAAUCUGGUUAAUAGCGGUCUUAACUAUGAGGAUCCUAAGGUAGCAAAAUAAAUUGGCCAUUAAAUGUGGUCCGGUAUCAAUAAUUUAACGAUGGCUUCACUGUCUCUACAACUUGCUCAGUGAAAUUGAAUUACCCGUGCAGAUGCGGGUUGCCACCAGGNGGNACGG